AAGUGGUGACACGUUGCGGCGGAGCGGAGUUUUGAAACAAACUGGAGCCUCCGUGUUUAUUAUUUUGUAGUUUUAUACAGUAUAGGUGACAUAUAUAAACACGUGGUUACACUACCGAUUAGUGCGGCCGGCCGGAAAGCAUAUUGACCACGUUGGGGUUCCGGUGAGAGAACAGACGGUCAUCAUUUGGACUCUUCCAACUUUAAUGGCUCCCAGGAUGGCGGCGGCGAUGAUGCCGAGGAAGAGGCCGAGCACGUUGAGGACCACGGAGGCCCACAGCAGGCGAUGGAGGUGGAUCACGUCCCAGCAGCUGCUCACCCCCGUGAACUCGAAGUACUUGGCGCGGUACUCCGUGCUGUGACGUCACGCACGGUCCGCAUGGAACUGGAGGGGGCGUGGCUUCCAGCUCCGGCUGAAAAUCGGGAGAUUUUCGGGAGAAUAUUUGUCCCGGGAGGUUUUCGGGAGAGGCGCUGAAUUUCGGGAGUCUCCCGGAAAAUUCGGGAGGGUUGGCAAGUAUGAGUGACCAUGUUAUGAAAAUGUAUUGCACUGUUUUUUUUUUAAUUUCAGUAUUGUUAUUUUUUUGCAUCCCCUGCCAUCCUACUACCCCCACCCCCUAAAUAAUGGGGGUAUAAAUGGAAAUAAAAUAGAAAAUAUUACAAACCCAGUUUCCAUAUGAGUUGGGAAAUUGUGUUAGAUGUAAAUAUAAACGGAAUACAAUGAUUUGCAAAUCAUUUUCAACCCAUAUUCAGUUGAAUAUGCUACAAAGACAACAUAUUUGAUGUUCAAACUGAUAAACUUUCUUUUUUUUUUGCAAAUAAUCAUUAACUUUGAAUGAAUUUGAUGCCAGCAACACGUGACAAAGAAGUUGGGAAAGGUGGCAAUAAAUACUGAUAAAGUUGAGUUCUGGG